rnacentral:rRNA from 1 species
CCCUUAGAUGUCCUGGGCCGCACGCGCGCUACACUGAUGCAUGCAACGAGUUUAUAACCUUGGCCUGAAAGGUCUGGGUAAUCUUUUGAACGUGCAUCGUGAUAGGGAUAGAUUAUUGCAAUUGUUAAUCUUGAACGAGGAAUUCCUAGUAAACGCGAGUCAUCAGCUCGCACUGAUUACGUCCCUGCCCUUUGUACACACCGCCCGUCGCACCUACCGAUUGAAUGGUUCGGUGAAGAUCUCGGACUUCGAUAUUUAUUCUUUAUUGAGUUUAUAUUGUGGGAAGUUAUCUAAACCUCAUCAUUUAGAGGAAGGUGAAGUCGUAACA